UAUAUAUAUGUGAGGAGCAUGAGAGCAUGCAAGUCUUUCUAUAUAUACCUCCUCCAUCUCUGUGCAUGAAAUUCAUAAAACCUUCAUGGUGAUUAUUGUGAUGAACACAUUUGGGAGCAUUGGCCGGAAGCUGCAGAUAAUUAGGUCCGAGGC